GGCGCAUUCGUCUAGGGGGUUUAGGACACCUCCCUCUCAAGGAGGAGAUCACCGGUUCGAAUCCGGUAUGCGCCACCA
rnacentral:tRNA from 1 species